rnacentral:rRNA from 1 species
UACGUAGGGUGCGAGCGUUAAUCGGAAUUACUGGGCGUAAAGAGUGCGUAGGCGGUUCUUGAAGUCCGCUGUGAAAGCCCCGGGCUUAACCUGGGAAUGGCAGUGGAAACUGGGGGACUUGAAUUGAGCAGAGGGGGGUGGAAUUCCGCGUGUAGCAGUGAAAUGCGUAGAGAUGCGGAGGAACACCGAUGGCGAAGGCAGCCCCCUGGGCUGACACUGACGCUCAGGCACGAAAGCGUGGGGAGCAAACAGG